UGGCUCAGCAAUGGACGCAGACCGGGUGGCGCACAGGACCACGUCUUGUGUCCUGCUGUUGCACACCGUGAGUCGGAACCACUCAUUAACAACAACGUCAACGCCAUGUCUUUACAAAUCUCAGGUAUCAUCAAAUCACUUUCCACAGGUAUGUCUGGGAGAUUUUUAUCCAGCCACUCCACAGCUUUGAGAGCCUCACUCCUCAAAGUGGGACCUGCAGACUCCGGUUACCCAGAUGCUUUGAGAAAAGCAGAACUGCUUGGUGCUCCUCACACCUGUGUACACAUGAAUCGCCCGAGAGCUGGUGAAAAUGCUGAUUCAGAUCCAGCAGAGCUACACUUGGAGAGGUGGAGGAGCCACGUGAAGAC